rnacentral:tRNA from 3 species
GUGGCCAUAGUUCAGUUGGUUAGAACGCCUGGUUGUGGUCCAGGAGGUCGUGGGUUCGAGUCCCAUUGGCCACCCA